GACGAACGCUGGCGGCGUGCUUAACACAUGCAAGUCGAACGGUAAGGCCCUUCGGGGUACACGAGUGGCGAACGGGUGAGUAACACGUGGGUGAUCUGCCCUGCACUUCGGGAUAAGCCUGGGAAACUGGGUCUAAUACCGGAUAGGACCACUGCCUGCAUGGGUGGUGGUGGAAAGCGUUUGCGGUGUGGGAUGGGCCCGCGGCCUAUCAGCUUGUUGGUGGGGUGAUGGCCUACCAAGGCGACGACGGGUAGCCGGCCUGAGAGGGUGACCGGCCACACUGGGACUGAGAUACGGCCCAGACUCCAACGGGAGGCAGCAGUGGGGAAUAUUGCACAAUGGGCGCAAGCCUGAUGCAGCGACGCCGCGUGAGGGAUGACGGCCUUCGGGCUGUAAACCUCUUUCAGCACCGACGAAGCGCAAGUGACGGUAGGUGCAGAAGAAGGACCGGCCAACUACGUGCCAGCCGCCGCGGUAA
rnacentral:rRNA from 1 species